UCCCUGUGGAGAGAAGUCCUCCCAGGUUGUCAGCCUCUCCCAGAGGCAUCGGUGCCUUGGCCAAGGGCAGGCUCUGAAGCGCCAGGUGUAUGGAAGGACUCCUUGGACCAGCAGGGACUUUUCACUCAGACUCUCCAAGUCCGCUGCCCAGCCUCAGGGUCUGCACAUUUACAAACUGCUGUGGAGAGGGACCACCCUGGGGCUCUUCCAGUGGAAGCAAACACCCGCUAAACGGCCUCGGCCUCAUUCCACCGAUGCCAGGAUGGGGGAAGUCCAAAGCCCAAGGCGAACCUCGGAGCAGGACCGAGGCUGUCACCUCCCAGCCUGCAGGCCGGCCGAGGAAGGCCCUACCCACCAGAGGUGCCAACAGAACUCCUUUCAAAGCCUUUCCUGUCUGCAGGGAAGGUGUUUGCUUGGCCUCUUAAAGGAAAAGAGCAGGAUUUCUCCCUUCUGUGGAGAAGAAGAAGAAAAACCUGUCACCAUGGGGCUGGAGAGAUGGCUCAGAGGAUUGGCGCACUUGCGGCUCUUUCAGGGGACCUGGGUUCAAUUCCCAGCACCCACGUGGCGGUUCACAACUCUCGAACUCCAUCCAGUUUCAGGGGAUCAGACGCCCUCUUCUGACCUCCGGGGGCACCAAGCCCCCACGUGGUACACAGACAUACACGCAGGCCAAACACGCACACACAUAAAGUAAAUCUAAUAAAAAGCUUGUCACCAUUCCACAUUUUAGGGACAGCAAGCAGUCUUCGAGAAGAAUCCUCAGGACAACUAGCUACCAGACCCCGCCCAGUUCCAGAUGUGAGGAGAGCAAUCCAAAGCUUAGGUCAUUCUUCCAAGACUGAGCACGGGGUCUCUCUCACAGCAAGUCAUUUCUGACUCCUCCCCAAAAUCUGAUAGGUUACUGAGCCGAGGAGGCCCCGCCCCACUACCUCACAUUGGCCUAUCACAGGGCGGAGCCCUGCUUCCCUGCCUUCCCCCACCUAAGCCCGAAGCUGGGCACGACCUCCGCGGAUCUGGGCGACAUCCUCACGCGAGGCUGCAGCGGGUGCCCAUUCUCGCCACACGGACCCUUUUAUUGUUGAUGCUACACACAACCAGUCCUUGCUGUACCGGGGAAGCCACUUCUGCCAUCGGCCUGGAAAGAUGAUCCAAUUCUGAUGCUUUUAUCAUCAACGCUUUCACCAACUUUGUUCUACCUCCCCUCCUCCUGUAAUUACUUCUGAAAUCAUCAACACACGAGGCAGCAGCCUUAAAGCUCAGGGAACAGAGUGGAAAAAAAAAAAAAGAAAGAAAGAAAUCUGCAAUGGUAAACAACUUCACUAAGAAGAGGCCACCCAAGCUAGAAGCAACUUGUUUCUGUCCGGAAAUCAACAACUCACUAAUAAACUGUUGUUCCACCGUC